UUCAGUGUUAAACAUUACAAGAAAAGUCUCUUUCACGCAAGAUUAGAUGAACAUGUUUAGAAGAUAAAGACUUCAUUGGCUCUUUUCUUCAUGCUUAUAUUUUAUUUAUUUUCAAGCAAGAUUAGAUGAAUAUUGUGUCAAUUUUGACUUUCCAAUGUGACUUGUUUUACUGGUUAGUUGCCAAUUUAUUGAAGUUUAUUGUCACUUUAUUAUUUUAGAAAAAGAAGAACAUGUCUAGAUUUUACAAACUUUAUUGGCUAUUUGUGCUUAUAUUUUAUAUAUUGUGUGAAUCAAGGGGAUGUCAAUGAAGAAGACGAGAAGUUGUUUGAAUCACUCUUUGUUAAGAAAACGCCUCCUCAGCGUACUCUUGCUGAUAUCAUUAUGAUCUCACUCAAAUUACCCGAAGGAUUGAAUUACUCUCUCAAAUAAUAGGUUCAGUUGUAGUACUUAAGGAUCGAAUUCACAGGGAGCUAAGGAAUCUAAUGAAUCUAAUCAGGUAC
rnacentral:lncRNA from 1 species